AUUGUACGCUAGCGGGAUGCUUUACACAUGCAAGUCGAACGGCAGCGCGGACUUCGGUCUGGCGGCGAGUGGCGAACGGGUGAGUAAUGUAUCGGAACGUGCCCAGUAGCGGGGGAUAACUACGCGAAAGCGUAGCUAAUACCGCAUACGCCCUACGGGGGAAAGCAGGGGAUCGUAAGACCUUGCACUAUUGGAGCGGCCGAUAUCGGAUUAGCUAGUUGGUGAGGUAACGGCUCACCAAGGCGACGAUCCGUAGCUGGUUUGAGAGGACGACCAGCCACACUGGGACUGAGACACGGCCCAGACUCCUACGGGAGGCAGCAGUGGGGAAUUUUGGACAAUGGGGGCAACCCUGAUCCAGCCAUCCCGCGUGUGCGAUGAAGGCCUUCGGGUUGUAAAGCACUUUUGGCAGGAAAGAAACGUCGCGGGCUAAUACCCCGUGGAACUGACGGUACCUGCAGAAUAAGCACCGGCUAACUACGUG
rnacentral:rRNA from 1 species